rnacentral:rRNA from 1 species
AUGGCGCCGCUCAUAACCAUCUCGCCGGUAGUGAUGGCGGCGGCGCUGAUGCUGCUGACGUCGCGGCCGCUCUUGGCCGGGGCGGUGGUUAAACCAGAGGAGGCGAUAGGGAUGCCCGGCUGCGACACCGCCUGCGGCGACAUGAAGGUGCCGUACCCCUUUGGCAUGGGUUCCCCCAGUUGCUACUGGCCAGGGUUCAACCUCACCUGCGACCGCACCGGCGAGACUCCGCGGCUGCUGUUCGGCGACGGAAGCCUCCAAGUCCAAGAUAUCGACUUCGCAAAUUCCAUGCUGUCCGUCACACACACCGGCGAGAUAAAAACCGACGCCAACGGCAGUGGCUGGUUUGUCGGGGGUAUCAGGGACGACGGACUCUAUAUGCUGUCAUCUGACAGCGAGCUCGUCCUGACAGGCUGCAACGUGCGGGCGACACUCAAAGACGGCGGUGGUGCCACCAUCAGCAGCUGCUCCUCGCUCUGCGGAGCCGGUCAUGAACCAGUCACGUACGUGCCUUCCAGGCUCCAAGGCGGGAUGCUGUGCACUACCAUAGGCUGCUGCCAGGCGGACAUCGUCGACCAGCCGGUGGAGGCCGCGUCGAAGCUUUCCUACGGUGUCCAGCUAGAUUACUUUGGCGGGAAUCGCACCACGGACCUGGAGAGGCUGCCGGCGCGCGUGUUUGUCGCGACGAAGGGGUGGUUCAAGCAGCCCAGUGUAUCCGACGAGCUUUUGCAGACGAGCCGGGCGCCGUCGCAGGACGCUAUGGCGGUUCCAGUUUCGUUAUGGUGGCAGGUCGUCGGCCAUGGCGUGGAGCCCGACAGCAACGCGACCCCGGAGGUGUGCCCCGAGAACGCAGCUAGGAGCGUGUGCAGGAGCAACGACAGCGUCUGCUCCAAGGGUUCAAAAGGAUAUAGUUGCCUCUGCGAGAGUGGUUACCAGGGCAAUCCCUACGUCGCCGGCGGCUGCACAGACGUCGACGACUGCAAGGAGGAAGACGCGAUCAGGUGCUACGGCGUUUGUACGAACACUGCAGGAUCAUACGAGUGCCCGUGCCCGGCUGGAACCCAUGGUGACUCUUCCGUGCCCGGGGGCUGCGUCGCUUCCCGUGCAGCUGGUAGGUGCAGCCAUUCAUGCGGGGACGUGGACGCGCCAUUUCCGUUUGGAAUUGGCCCGGUUGGUUGCUACUGGCCAGGGUUCAACCUCACCUGCGACCACAGCAGCAACCCGCCGCGGCUGUUCCUCGACAGCCAGCGUGACCUCUUCCGUGUCCAGAAGAUCUCCCUCCUAGACAACACAGUGAUCGUCCUCGUCGACGGUGCGAGCACAUUAACGACCAGCAGGUUUUCCCGUGCUAGUGGCAUGUUUGAGCGUGUCUUCACGGGUCGUGGAGACACGCCCUACUCACUGUCGACCACCGGCAACGAGCUCAUUCUCGUAGGGUGCAACGUUCAGGCGUUUCUGAUUGACGACGAGGACAUGACCACCAUCGCCGGUUGCACCUCCUUCUGCCCCGUCAACAGCUCAACUGGCAGUACGUACACCUCGAGGCAGGUACGGUUUGGCGGCAGCGACAGGUACUGCUAUGGCAUCGGCUGCUGCCAGGCGCGCAUCUCCAUAUCCGCGAACUACAACACGGCCGGAGGGUGGAUAAUCGACAGAAUCGACGAGAACCAGGCAACGCAGGGCAAAAUUUCGCCGCCUGCGGCCAUGCUGACCGCGGCGGAGGGGUGGUUCGACCAGCGGCAGGUCUCCGACAUGCUGGCCCGAGACUUUCAGCACCACCGUAGAGGAUUGAGAUCUGAGCUGCAUGUCCCCGUUAUUUUAGAAUGGGAGGUCGUGCAAGGCUUGCCUGGGCGGGCGGCCGACGCCAAGUUGCAGCAUCCAAUGGCGACUUGUCCCGCGGAGGUAGCCAACAGUCUCUGCAAGAGCAAGCACAGCGAUUGCAAACGUGGGAGAAGAGGCUAUUUGUGCCAGUGCAGCAAUGGCUACGUCGGCAACCCCUACAAAAAAGAGGGAUGCAAAGGUGACCGGAAGUCCUUAAGUACAGGUAUAUACAUAAACUAUGGGGGUUGCUAUUGGGGCUGUCGUCAUACUUUCGUUCUUCAUUGCACUUUUCAUUUCAAAGAAAAUUAAACAUCGGCGGGCACAAAUGUUGAAGCGGCAUUUCUUCUUGAAGAAUCGUGGACAGUUGUUGCAACAGUUGGUAUCUCAAAGAGCCGAUAUUGCGGAAAGAAUGGUUAUAACCUUGGAAGAGAUUGAGAAGGCCACAAACAAUUUUGAUAAAACACGUGAGCUUGGUGGCGGAGGGCAUGGCAUGGUUUACAAAGGGAUCUUAUCGGACCUCCAUGUUGUGGCCAUCAAGAAACCAAAAAAGUGGUUCAGAAGGAGAUUGAUGAGUUCAUUAAUGAGGUUGCCAUCCUAUCACAGAUCAACCAUAGAAAUGUAGUAAAACUAUAUGGUUGCUGCCUUGAAACCGAAGUGCCCUUGUUGGUUUAUGAGUUCAUAUCCAAUGGUACCCUCUAUGAACAUCUUCACGUUGAGGGGCCAAGAUCUUUGUCGUUGGAUGAUAGGUUGCAGAUAGCAACUGAAACAGCUAAAUCUCUAGCAUAUCUUCACUCUACGGCUUCAAUACCUAUCAUCCACAGAGAUAUCAAGUCUGUUAACAUACUUCUCGAUGAUACUCUGACGGCAAAGGUGGCUGAUUUUGGUGCUUCAAGAUACAUUCCCGUGGAUAGGUCAGGAGUAACAACAAUGGUGCAAGGUACAAUCGGAUAUUUGGACCCCAUGUACUUUUAUACACAAAGGCUCACAGAGAAGAGUGACGUUUAUAGUUUUGGUGUCAUUCUUAUAGAGCUGUUGACCAAAAAAAGCCAUUUGCAUACAUUUCGUUGGAUGGUGAAGGCCUUGUUGCACAUUUUUCUGCUUUGCUUACUGAAGGCAAUUUGUCACAAAUACUAG